AGUGAACGCUGGCGGUAGGCCUAACACAUGCAAGUCGAACGGCAGCACAGUAAAAGCUUGCUCUUACGGGUGGCGAGUGGCGGACGGGGGAGGAAUACAUCGGAAUCUACUUUUUCGUGGGGGAAAACGUAGGGAAACUUACGCUAAUACCGCAUACGACCUACGGGUGAAAGCAGGGGAUCUUCGGACCUUGCGCGGUUGAAUGAGCCGAUGUCGGAUUAGCGAGUUGGCGGGGUAAAGACCCACCAAGGCGACGAUCCGUAGCUGGUCUGAGAGGAUGAUCAGCCACACUGGAACUGAGACACGGUCCAGACUCCUACGGGAGGCAGCAGUGGGGAAUAUUGGACAAUGGGCGCAAGCCUGAUCCAGCCAUACCGCGUGGGUGAAGAAGGCCUUCGGGUUGUAAAGCCCUUUUGUUGGGAAAGAAAAGCAGCAGGUUAAUACCCCGCUGUUCUGACGGUACCCAAAGAAUAAGCACCGGCUAACUUCGUG
rnacentral:rRNA from 1 species